rnacentral:rRNA from 1 species
UUUUGUAACAGCACGGAACUAGAUCACAUGAUGCAUCUUUUAGUUGUUUGGCUGUGAAGUUGUAAGAACUCUAAAGUUAAACGUGCUUUAUUCAGAGAAAUUCUAGGAUGGGGGACCUCUUGGGAAGUUCUCGAACCCGCUAAAG